GGGAAGCAGAAAGAGUCCAGCUUGGAUACUCAGAGGAAUCUGCAAAAACAGGCUUCCAGUAUCAAAGGCUUCUAGCCAAAGAAUACCGAGAGAGACACGGAACCAUUUGCUGUCCCCGGGCUUGCAGUCAACAGGAAACAUCACAAAAGUCUUGCCAGUUUCCGUAUCAAGACAAGAUCAUGCUAACAUGCUGUAUGAUGAGCGACGGACAAGGUAAGAAUAUAAUAUCAGACAAUGAUUACGCAGC
rnacentral:lncRNA from 1 species